UUUGAGGUCCAUUCUUCCGCUUACACUUCUAUUGUUUUAAUUUAAAGCAUGACUGUUUAUAUGGCAAAAAGCAUAGUAUGUUUUCAGUUUUAGCUAGAAGCUACUAAUAGGCAGACGUAGAAAAGCUAAACCACAAUGGCGGAUAUUGAUCUCAACAGGAGGGACCCUAAUGACUUGAAUAGCCAUAUCAAGGUUGAUUUUGAGGACGUAUUAGGAGAACCGGAUGGUGCCCAUAGUUUUGACAAAGUAUGGAUAUUUUCAUACAAAUGCUACCGAUGUGGACUCGGCUGCUGUUACAAGUUACUCACCUUACUAUGUGGAUUGUGUAUUGCUCUAUACUGGGGAUGUACCUUUGCAUGCUUAACCUUUGAGCAUGUAUGGUGCUGGACACCA